rnacentral:rRNA from 1 species
CAGCCGCCACGGGAAUACGUAGGGUGCGAGCGUUAAUCGGAAUUACUGGGCGUAAAGCGUGCGCAGGCGGUUUUGUAAGACAGGCGUGAAAUCCCCGGGCUCAACCUGGGAAUGGCGCUUGUGACUGCAAGGCUGGAGUGCGGCAGAGGGGGAUGGAAUUCCGCGUGUAGCAGUGAAAUGCGUAGAUAUGCGGAGGAACACCGAUGGCGAAGGCAAUCCCCUGGGCCUGCACUGACGCUCAUGCACGAAAGCGUGGGGAGCAAACAGGAUUAGAUACCCGAGUAGUCCCUGUCUCUUAUAC